rnacentral:rRNA from 1 species
UACGAAGGGGGCUAGCGUUGCUCGGAAUUACUGGGCGUAAAGGGCGCGUAGGCGGACAGUUUAGUCAGAGGUGAAAGCCCAGGGCUCAACCUUGGAAUUGCCUUUGAUACUGGCUGUCUUGAGUUCGGGAGAGGUGAGUGGAAUGCCGAGUGUAGAGGUGAAAUUCGUAGAUAUUCGGCGGAACACCAGUGGCGAAGGCGGUGGCCUGGACCGAUGCUGACGCUGAGGCGCGAAAGCGUGGGGAGCGAUCCGG